UACGAAGGGUGCUAGCGUUGUUCGGAAUCACUGGGCGUAAAGGGUGCGUAGGCGGCUAAACAAGUCAGAGGUGAAAGCCUGGAGCUUAACUCCAGAACUGCCUUUGAAACUGUUUGGCUAGAGUGUCGGAGGGGAUAGCGGAAUUGCUAAUGUAGCGGUGAAAUGCGUAGAUAUUAGCAGGAACACCGGUGGCGAAGGCGGCUAUCUGGACGACAACUGACGCUGAGGCACGAAAGCGUGGGGAUCAAACAGG
rnacentral:rRNA from 1 species